AUUUGUUUAACUAUGGCAAUAGGAAGUAUUACGUUCAUUAGCUGCAUAAAAUUAUUAUAUUUUAUUAAUUCAGUGUCAAAUUUUAGAAUUUAGCAGCUAGUAUUUUUUUAGGAAAUUUUUCUUUAAGAGUGUACGUAAGGAAGGGGAUAGGACACAGUGCCAGCAUCCGCGGUUAUUCUGUUUUCUUUGCUUUCUCUUGAUUAGUGUAUUUAAUUGUCUAUAAGAAAGGUUAGGUGAAAUUUUCUUGCUAUUUUUAUUUGCUUUUAAGUUAUAAAAAGAUGUUUUAAUGUGACAGGGAUUAGAUACCCCAUUAGUUAGCAUUUUAUUAAUAUCUAGUUUGAUAACUAAAAUAGUUUGGCAGCGAGUUAUUCCUGUUGGGGGAAGGUGUGUUGUAAAGGACGGUCCGCCUAUUAAUUUACCUGUUCUAUGCUGGUGUAUAUCUGGUUGAAUAUUAUUGUUUAAUAACUUAAUUUGUGUAUUAUUAAUUAAGCCAAGUCUAUGUGCUGCGUGUUCAGGGUUUCAUGCGUUACUAUAAUAAAGGGUUUAUUGUAAAAUAUGUUUAUUUAGGACUCAAAAGUAAGUAUUAAAUAAAUUUGUUUAUCUGAAAAGGGUUUAACUCGGGUACACACCGCCCGUCACCCUCGGCAAUUGCUGAGGUAAGUCGUAACAUGGUAACCCCAAAUGAAUUUGGGGUUAAUUGGCCUACU
rnacentral:ncRNA from 1 species